UGGGGAAUAUUGGGCAAUGGGGGAAACCCUGACCCAGCAACGCCGCGUGAGGGAAGAAGGCUUUCGAGUUGUAAACCUCUGUCCUAUGGGAAGAAGAAAGUGACUGUACCAUAGGAGGAAGCUCCGGCUAACUACGUGCCAGCAGCCGCGGUAAUACGGAGGAUGCGAGCGUUAUCCGGAUUUAUUGGGUUUAAAGGGUGCGUAGGCGGCCUUUUAAGUCAGCGGUGAAAGUCUGUGGCUCAACCAUAGAAUUGCCGUUGAAACUGGGGGGCUUGAGUAUGUUUGAGGCAGGCGGAAUGCGUGGUGUAGCGGUGAAAUGCUUAGAUAUCACGCAGAACCCCGAUUGCGAAGGCAGCCUGCCAAGCCAUGACUGACGCUGAUGCACGAAAGCGUGGGGAUCAAACAGGAUUAGAUACC
rnacentral:rRNA from 1 species